rnacentral:rRNA from 1 species
UACGUAGGGCGCGAGCGUUGUCCGGAUUUAUUGGGCGUAAAGAGCUCGUAGGCGGCUUGUCGCGUCGACUGUGAAAACCCACGGCUCAACUGCGGGCUUGCAGUCGAUACGGGCAGGCUAGAGUUCGGUAGGGGAGACUGGAAUUCCUGGUGUAGCGGUGAAAUGCGCAGAUAUCAGGAAGAACACCAAUGGCGAAGGCAGCUCGCUGGGACGGUACUGACACUGAGGCACGAAAGCGUGGGGAGCAAACAGG